GGAUACUGCUUUGGUGGUGAGAGCGAAAAAGAAGGCGACAAUAUCGGUGGCCAAAGAUAGACAGAAGAAGCCGCUAUCCGAGGUGGAGCGCUUCUACUAUCAUAGGAAAGGGCAUAUCAAGCGAAAUUGUCAAAAACUUCAGGAUGAUCUGAAGGAGUUAAAACGACAAAAAGAAAAAACUGUCAUGAACCAGGAUGAGACGGUAUCAGCGAUGGCGCAGGCGGUAGAGUCGGAGAUGAUCAAUUCUGAUGUGCUGUAUACAGCAACCGGAGGUGCAAAAAUUUCGGAUG
rnacentral:lncRNA from 1 species